UCUGUCCUCCCUCUUUCCCUGUUCUCCCUUACCCUUUCUCUUGCUGUCUCAUACCCCCUCUCCCUUCACAUACCUUUCUCUCUGUCAUCUGUCUCUCUCCGCAUCCUCCCUCAUUCCCUACCGCACUCACUCUCUUCCUAAUCUGCCUGUCUCCCAGAAGGUCUGAAAUCCACCUACUCAGAGCUGAACGUUCGGAAAAAGAAACCCCGCGUCGAUGAGGACGAAGAUCCUCCCAUUUCUCGGGACCCGGCGGGUUGUCAACCGCUGCACAAACAGCUGCGCAAGAACGGGAGUCUAAAGUGAAAACCGGAAAUAGACCGUACCGUCUUAUCUGCCUCCUCUGCCUGAUUACGUCCGCCUUCAUCGUGACAGUGGCCGCUCUCUCGAUCCGUGUAUCACAGAUUCGUCAGUCAAAGAUCACCUCCGACAGAAACUACCAUAAGUUAAACUCAACCCUUCAAUACAAGCUUUCUGCGCUCAACUCUGAUCUGUCUGAUCUUAAACGAAUGCACAGCGAUCUCCG